rnacentral:rRNA from 1 species
GAUGAACGCUAGCGGGAGGCCUAACACAUGCAAGCCGAGCGGUAUUGUUUCUUCGGAAAUGAGAGAGCGGCGUACGGGUGCGUAACACGUGUGCAACCUGCCUUUAUCUGGGGGAUAGCCUUUCGAAAGGAAGAUUAAUACUCCAUAAUAUAUUGAACGGCAUCGUUUAAUAUUGAAAGCUCCGGCGGAUAGAGAUGGGCACGCGCAAGAUUAGUUAGGUGGUGAGGUAACGGCUCACCAAGGCGAUGAUCUUUAGGGGGCCUGAGAGGGUGAUCCCCCACACUGGUACUGAGACACGGACCAGACUCCUACGGGAGGCAGCAGUGAGGAAUAUUGGACAAUGGGUGCAAGCCUGAUCCAGCCAUCCCGCGUGAAGGACGACUGCCCUAUGGGUUGUAAACUUCUUUUGUAUAGGGAUAAACCUACCCUCGUGAGGGUAGCUGAAGGUACUAUACGAAUAAGCACCGGCUAACUCCGUGCCAGCAGCCGCAGUAAUAC